rnacentral:rRNA from 1 species
UAAGCGUCGGUGAGGUGAUAUGAACCGUUAUAACCGGCGAUUUCCGAAUGGGGAAACCCAGUGUGUUUCGACACACUAUCAUUAACUGAAUCCAUAGGUUAAUGAGGCGAACCGGGGGAACUGAAACAUCUAAGUACCCCGAGGAAAAGAAAUCAACCGAGAUUCCCCCAGUAGCGGCGAGCGAACGGGGAGGAGCCCAGAGCCUGAAUCAGUGUGUGUGUUAGUGGAAGCGUCUGGAAAGGCGCGCGAUACAGGGUGACAGCCCCGUACACAAAAA